GUUUGUUUGUUUUCUCGUGUGUCUUCACAGAAGCGUGUUCAACUGUUUUAGGUAGUUUAACCAGAUGUCAAUCUUCAAAGCUAGCCAGCUGAUUGGCUCUUCAAACCUAGGCAGCUGACUUGCUCUGCCAGGUCCCCCAGGGAGCCACCUCCCACCCCCCCCAACUGAAAACCAGACUUUGUUAAACCACAACAUCUCAGAAAUUCCUGAGGCCACAGUAGAAAAGCUCUGACUCUAUAUCUGAUGGCUGUCUGUGCUGAUCCAAUUCCUGAUUUUAUGACCAGUAAUGCUGAUAAAGAUCACAGACGUGCUGUUAGUGGCAACAAUAAACUGUUGAAAUGUGCAUAAAUAUUAAUAGAUGUUACUUGUCUGCAAGACAGCUAUUUCCUUUCAGGCUUGAUUCCUGUUAGCUCAGCGGUUUUAGGAGUUGCAGCAGACUGUAACAGCCCCUCUGAUCUCUAGGUUGUUUUUGUGAUUGGUUGUUUGCUGCGCCUCUCAAAAAUCUUGCUUCUCUCUACAUUAUCUCAUCCACUUUGCCUGUCAUCUGCCUUCCCACUGUGAAAUCUGGAAGAUAGUUUUCCCUUGAUGAGUUCAGUUCCAUCUGAGUGAGAGAAACUUCGAUUCAUAGGAUUCUCCAUGAUCAAAUCAACAUUAAUUUUAAAGAAGAAUCUAAUAAAUAAAUUCCAUAGUGCAUGACAUAACACGUCAACUGAUGCUUCUUUUCCAAUAGCCAAAUAGUAAGAAGAAGAUAGCUUGAUUAGUGACAUUCUAAUCCUGGGGAGCCUCAGGCAAAAUGCUCAUUUCACACAGAAUCAUAUGAUGGGAAGGAUGGGUUGGGCUGGAAGGGACCACAGUGUAUCCUCUGGUACAACCUCCCUGCUCAGGCACAGAACUGUGUCCAGAUGGAAUAUACUGGAAUAUACUAGAAUAUUCCCAGUAAGGGACACUGCAGAGCCUCUUAAGUGCCCUAUAGACGGAUUAUUUAGCUGCAUAAUUGGUGUUAGCCACAGGUUACUGAAGUAGAUCCAGCAGAGGUCAUGGAGGUGGUGAGGGGUCUGGAACAUCUCUCUUAUGAGGAAAAAACUCCAGGAGAAGGGCCUGUUUAGUUUGAAGAAGAGAAGAUUGGGAGGACCUCUUCAAUGCCUACAAUAAGGGAAAAAAGCAAACUGACCUUGACAGGUGAAAAAGGAAUAGCGAUGACUCAUAUCUUCUAAAUGUACAAGAUGAGAACAAAUUUCCUAUGCUAGAAUUAGAGUAUUUCCACUUACCAUUACCAGGGACUGGAGCAUCUCUCUUAUGAGGAAAGGCUGAGGAAGCUGGGCCUGCUCAGUCUCAAGAAGAGACAACUGAGAGGGGACCUCAUCAAUGUCUGUCAGUGCCUGCAGGGAGGGGUCAGAGCAGGGACCAGGCUCUGCUCAGUGGUGCCCAGCAAUGGGACAAGAAGCAAGGGACAGAAAUACAUGCACAGGAAGUUCCGCCUGAACAUGAGGAAGAAAUUCUUUCCUGUGCAGUGACUGGGCACUGGAACAGAUCACACAGAGAGGGUGUGGAGUGUCCCUCACUGGAGAUAUUUCAGAACCAUCUGGAUGCAAUCCUGUGCCAUGUGCUCUGCGAUGACUCUGCUUAAGCAGGGGUUGGACCAGAUGACCCACUGUGACUUACUGUGACCCACUGAUUUCAGCCUCAACCAUUUUGGGAUUCUGUGAUUCUGUGGUGUGAGAAUAUAAACAUUCCCUCUGUCUUACUAAAGAGAUAAAGACACAAGAAAAGACAAAGAACUUUUGGUAUAUAUGCAACUUUUGGUCUAUAUAAUUGCAUAGAAAUAUUUGAUAGCUACACUCGUUCUCAAGGAUAGACUAACUGUUCAAAAUCAAAUCUCUUCUUCCUGAAACAAUUUUUUGCCCCUAUUAGUUAUAGAGAGUGAAGUCAUCAAAAGCCUUUCUUCUGAUUAAUAAAGAGAGAAGUGGAGGCGUUAAGAAAGAGGCAUU